UCUUUUCCUCCCUCCAUUAGAGAAAAUUUUAAAAAACUCCCCCGACAUAGGGUGAACACCCAACUCAAAUAUGUCAUCAAAGAAGAAAACUAGGAGGCCAUUCAGCCGUUACUCCUAACCCCCAGUCUCACCCUAAUAACCCAUCAACCCCGAGAAGGCAGCCUCACUUAAUUGCCAUCAUCCCACCAGCAUUUAGGGCAGCAAUGAAGCUCCUCCGUCUUUGGUGGUGUUCAGGGCUUCAUCUCGUGGUUUUCACUACUGUCAGCAGAGCAGCCUCGAUGGGCCAAAUGGCCUAAUUCUGCUCCUAUAUCUUCUGCAAGUCCUGGGUGGAGACUCAGGAAUACUGCCGCACUCGGAUGUAGAAGGAUUCUUCGUAAACAAGAGAAAAUCUGCAGAGAAAGCUCAGAAUAGGCCCUUGUGGCCCUUCAAGACAUGCCGUCCAGCAAACCCUGACGAACCCUGAUUUAACCCUGAACCUAAUCCCGGAAAAUUCACCGGCCAACCUGAGGUGAAAAUGGUCGUUUCCGUACAGUGGAAGACAUACUAUACGGGUUCCAAUAGAGAGAUCGAUGGUUACGAAAGAGAAACAGUGGGGCAGUGUUCACGGAUUCAUGGACCGUUCAGGAAUCCGAUGGCGGAGGGGAAGGAGCUGCUGCUGAGUUGGCCAGCGUGUGUCUUCGGGCCCCAGGACGGCGUGUCCAAGACAGUGAGGGUCCUCAGCGCUGGGUGCGGCCUCCUCGAGGCACAGCCUUUUGAAGAUGGCAGCAGAUCAGAAUUAUGUUUAUUAUUCUGCGGGAGCAGAGAGAGCAGCGCACUGCACGUGCACAGCCCUCCGGUGAAAAAUGAUAUCGUACCCGUUAAAUAGCGGCCGUGGACAAUUCUGAUUUGAUGGAGACAGACGUGAAAACACAGAGGAACAUCUGGAGAAAUUUCUGAAAUGCUCGUUCACUGCUGUCGUUACUGUGCGGUCCGGAACCUUCUGGAGGGAAGGCCUCAGAAUCCCCGGCUUUGCCUGCUGUUGGUGACCGAGAUUGAGGUUGAAUUGUUCGGACAGAGAUGGCGCUCAGUACUCGGUGUCGGAGAGCUGAUUCGGAGGCUCGAAGUUUUCGGACGCCUCAGAGUCAGACUGCAGUCGGGCAUGGCAGAGAGAGUUUUUCUUCCUUCUCCCAUCUGCGUGAGAUGUGGGACAUUUGAGAGACUUUGAAGUUUUUACUGUGCUCAUGGACUUCUUCAUCAAGUUGUGGUAUUGUUGCACUGUUGUAACUAUAUGUUCUAAUUAUGUAGUUUUGUUAGUUUUUUCAGUCUUGGUCUGUCCUGUGUUUUGUGAUAUCACACCGGAGGAAUAUUGUAUCAAUUCUUAAUGCAUGCAUUACUAAAUGACAAUAAAAGAGGACUGUCUGUCUUCAUAAUCUAUAUCUAUUGUGAAAUAUUUGAAUUUGAAUUGAAUUGACUUUAUUUCUUACAUCCUUCAUAUAUGUGAGGAGUAAAAAUCUUUACAUCUCCGUUUG